CUGACUGGAUUAGUGAUCGGUCAGUAUAUAUAUGGAGAAUAAUAUGUCACUAACUGCAGAACAGCGCGCAGCUAUUGUUAAGGAAUAUGGUCGUAACGA
rnacentral:ncRNA from 1 species